rnacentral:rRNA from 1 species
CCUACGGGUGGCAGCAGUGGGGAAUAUUGCACAAUGGGGGAAACCCUGAUGCAGCGACGCCGCGUGAGUGAAGAAGUAUUUCGGUAUGUAAAGCUCUAUCAGCAGGGAAGAACAAAGACGGUACCUGACUAAGAAGCCCCGGAGAACUACGUGCCAGCAGCCGCGGGAAUACGUAGGGGGCAAGCGUUAUUCGGACUUACUGGGUGUAAAGGGCGCGUAGACGGCUGUGCAAGUCAGAAGUGAAAGCCCGGGGCUCAACCCCGGGACUGCUUUUGAAACUGUGGAGCUAGAGUGCUGGAGAGGUAAGUGGAAGUCCUAGUGUAGCGGUGAAAUGCGUAGAUAUUAGGAGGAACACCAGUGGCGAAGGCGGCUUACUGGACAGUAACUGACGUUGAGGCUCGAAAGCGUGGGGAGCAAACAGGAUUAGAUACCCCUGUAGUC